CAGUGGUAACAUCAGGGUAACAUCUCAUUUGAAUACCGGUUGUACGAUGUUGCAGGUUACGUUAGGAAAUGUGCUUAGGCAUUUAUAUCCUAUCCACAGAAAUUAACUUGCUCAUUGAAAAACGAACUUCCUUAUCUUUAAUUGGCAUAUACUGUACUAGGCCUAUUUCUUUAUCGUGGCUUGUUUAGUGUACAUGCAUAGGUACUGUAUGUAAGAUCUUUGCUGCAAUUCCCCAGGUUGGUGCUAACGUUAAUUUCACAGUGCAAGCAGACUUCUCCCCCGUUUAUGUUUGUAUAUUUCCGUUUUGCUUCAAAUGCAAAAAUGUAUUGCAGCACCUAUCGGCGGCCUAUUCUUUCCAAGUAUGAACGACGUCAGUUGUCACUGUACCGAGAAAGCCACCGCCAGCGGAACUGAACACCAGCAACGUCAAAAGAACCCACAUCCAGUUGUCCUUCCGACAUACUCCUCCCGAACUCUUCAUCAUCCCUCGUUUCUGUCACUGUACAUGGCUGUGGGGCCUACGCAGUGGAACUUGCAAGUGCCGGGCUACAGGGGGAUUGCUUUGCCAGCCAUGAUUCCCUCUGAUUUUUUUUACACUGACCCCACUCUACCCCCAGGGAGUAGAGUAUCUAAUGGGGUGACUCAACUGGAGGCCUUUGAGUGUUGUCAGUUGAACACUCCUCCUCCAGUCAUGUCCAUUAUUGCAGAUUCGCCCUCUAGAUUAGACCCCUUCAGAGCCAGACCCUACCCCACCCGGGAUCUUGGCUCCCAGAUGUGGACAUGGGACAAUCUGUCAACUUUCAGAUCCAGAACUGCACAGGGACAAAUUUUGGAGGUCAUCCAAAUAUCUGCAGAGGAAGAUGAAGCUAUUACCAGCCUUCUGAAGCUGCACUAUCAGAGCCAGCUAGAGACUGCCUCCAGUGACCCUUGGGGAAACAUGACCGCUCAAGAUCUUACAGUAGAUGAUCAUCAGUCCCUAUGACAGCCAGCUUCAACUCAGCCACCUCUUUCUGAUCCAGGGCCUUCCUCAAACAGUGUAGAAGUUUUGAUGCCAUCACUCCAUCUCAGAGUGUCAGCCUAUGCAGGGGUCUGAUGUAGUGACAGAAACUUCCCGGGUCCUGUUCAGUGUGGAAAAUUUUGUGACUGACCAUUUUGGUAAGGAGCCACUGAGUCUGAGCCAAGGAGCUGUAUGAAACCAAUAAACUGAGAAACUACGCUGCUUCUUACCUGCAGAAUAGGAAGUACUGACCAUGAAUGAUGGGAAACUUGAAUAAAGGCCUGUGAUGAAAAUAAUUUUUGAGUCUUCUGAGGAAGACCUGUAGCUAUUGUGAGAUGACAGACAGCAGAGUGUAGAAAUGUCCUGGGAGUGAGACUGGGGAACAUUGGAGCUCACGGGGGUCCUUGAACUGUGUGCAAGGAAUAGCAUGUUUUUGGCAGUGGGACAUGGGGAACAUUGAGGUUGGGGGAUUUGGUGUCUGUGGAAGGGGCUAAACCCCCUUGCUCAGGUGCCAAAACAAGCACAAAUAGCACAUUCCAGCUGUGUAUUAUUUUCCAUUGUUUCUUGUGUAUAUUGUCACUUUUGGAAGCUGACUUCAUAGUUCUUUUAACUGCUUCCUUUCCUGUUGGUUUAAAAAUAUGUACCUAGCCACGUGAUUGACAUUAAUCAAUCUGUGUUUAAUGUUUGGGUUCAGUUUUCACUUUGUAAAAUAGAAAUAAUGUUCAUGGCACUGAUGCAAGAAUUCUGUUUUUGCUUGAAUUAAUAAAGCGUAUUUAUGGUUAUUAUUUGAUGCUUCUGUGGCAGACAUUUCAGAUACGCUUUGCCAAGGAAAAAAAUACAAAAAUGGAUAAUGUGAAAAUGCUAUGAAAUUGUUUAUUAAUAAGUACACAAUUAAUCUCAAUGAAAGGAAAACCAUUCACAUACCCAAAUGUUCAUGGGUGGGUACACAUCCAUCCACACAGAAUAUCAACAUCAGGGAGUGCUGUAUCACCAUAUAGCCCUAUACGACUGAAACGGACUGGUUGUCCAGGACUGGUUUUAAAACUAAAUUAUCUAUAUACAAA